rnacentral:rRNA from 1 species
AGUGAACGCUGGCGGUAGGCCUAACACAUGCAAGUCGAACGGCAGCACAGAGGAGCUUGCUCCAUGGGUGGCGAGUGGCGGACGGGUGAGGAAUACAUCGGAAUCUACCCUGUCGCGGGGGAUAACGUAGGGAAACUUACGCUAAUACCGCAUGCGACCUACGGGUGAAAGCAGGGGAUCUUCGGGCCUUGCGCGAUUGAAUGAGCCGAUGUCGGAUUAGGUAGUUGGCGGGGUAAAGGCCCAGCAAGGCGACGAUCCGUAGCUGGUCUGAGAGGAUGAUCAGCCACACUGGAACUGAGACACGGUCCAGACUCCUACGGGAGGCAGCAGUGGGGAAUAUUGGACAAUGGGCGCAAGCCUGAUCCAGCCAUACCGCGUGGGUGAAGAAGGCCUUCGGGUUGUAAAGCCCUUUUGUUGGGAAAGAAAUCCAGCUGGUUAAUACCCGAGUGUGAUGACGGUACCCAAAGAAUAAGCACCGGCUAACUUCGUGCCAGCCGCCGCGGUAA